UACGUAGGGGGCAAGCGUUGUCCGGAUUUAUUGGGCGUAAAGAGCGUGUAGGCGGCCAAGCAGGUCCGCUGUGAAAACUCGAGGCUCAACCUCGAGACGUCGGUGGAAACCGUUUGGCUAGAGUCCGGAAGAGGAGAGUGGAAUUCCCGGUGUAGCGGUGAAAUGCGCAGAUAUCGGGAAGAACACCCGUGGCGAAGGCGGUCUGCUGGGCCGUUGCUGACGCUGAGGCGCGACAGCGUGGGGAGCAACCAGG
rnacentral:rRNA from 1 species